rnacentral:tRNA from 1 species
CGGGCUGUUGCGCAGCUGGCUAGCGCGCUAGUUUUGGGAACUAGAGGUCGCCGGUUCGAAUCCGGCCAGCCCGA